rnacentral:sRNA from 1 species
CGUGCGCACGCGCCUAAUCCCGUAAGGGAGCCGGGGAACCACACACCCUGGGGUGAAUCACGCGGAUGCCGUCGUGAACUCGCUGAGUCAACGACCGGUAUACGCGCGUAGGAGACCUUCCUGCUCCGAACCCGUCAGCUAACCCGGUAGGCGGAGGAAGGAAAGGAGUG